rnacentral:rRNA from 1 species
GAUGAACGCUGGCGGCGUGCUUAACACAUGCAAGUCGAACGGGAAUUAUUUUAUUGAAACUUCGGUCGAUUUAAUUUAAUUCUAGUGGCGGACGGGUGAGUAACGCGUGGGUAACCUGCCUUAUACAGGGGGAUAACAGUCAGAAAUGACUGCUAAUACCGCAUAAGCGCACAGAGCUGCAUGGCUCGGUGUGAAAAACUCCGGUGGUAUAAGAUGGACCCGCGUUGGAUUAGCUAGUUGGUGAGGUAACGGCCCACCAAGGCGACGAUCCAUAGCCGGCCUGAGAGGGUGAACGGCCACAUUGGGACUGAGACACGGCCCAGACUCCUACGGGAGGCAGCAGUGGGGAAUAUUGCACAAUGGGGGAAACCCUGAUGCAGCGACGCCGCGUGAAGGAAGAAGUAUCUCGGUAUGUAAACUUCUAUCAGCAGGGAAGAAAAUGACGGUACCUGACUAAGAAGCCCCGGCUAA